rnacentral:rRNA from 1 species
AGCGAACGCUGGCGGCAGGCCUAACACAUGCAAGUCGAAAGAAGUCUUCGGACUUAGUGGCGGACGGGUGAGUAACACGUGGGAACGUGCCCUUUGGUACGGAAUAACCCAGGGAAACUUGAGCUAAUACCGUAUGUGCCCUUCGGGGGAAAGAUUUAUCGCCAUUGGAUCGGCCCGAGUCUGAUUAGCUAUUUGGUGAGGUAAAGGCUUACCAAGGCGACGAUCAGUAGCUGGUCUGAGAGGAUGAUCAGCCACCUUGGGACUGAGACACGGCCCAAACUCCUACGUGAGGCAGCAGUGGGGAAUCUUGCGCAAUGGGCGAAAGCCUGACGCAGCCAUGCCGCGUGAAUGAUGAAGGUCUUAGGAUUGUAAUAUUCUUUCACCGGGGACGAUAAUGACGGUACCCGGGGAAGAAGCCCCGGCUAACUUCGUGCCAGCCGCCGCAGUAAAAC